rnacentral:rRNA from 1 species
UACAGAGGGUGCAAGCGUGUUCGGAAUUACUGGGCGUAAAGCGUGCGUAGUCGGUAUUGAGAGUCGCGGGUGAAAUCCCAGGGCUUAACCCUGGAACUGCCUGCGAGACCUCAGUACUAGAGUGUGAGAGGGGAUAGUGGAAUACCAAGUGUAGCGGUGAAAUGCGUAGAGAUUUGGUGGAACACCGGUGGCGAAGGCGGCUAUCUGGCUCACAACUGACGAUCAGGCACGAAAAGCGUGGGGAUCAAACAGG